UCCCAGAGGUAGGUAGUGUGACUUGGGAUAACUUUGUGGGAGACUCACCUAGAGCUAUACUGAAGACUACCUAUCCACACAGAGAGAUACUGGCUUCCUCCACCUGAGCUUCCAUGACAUAAAAAGACACAGACUGGUGGCCAUUUGGGCAAAGGGUAUACAUGGUGUUCAAGACCGACUGUUCUCUCAGUAGCAAGGACUUGGAGAGGGUUCUUUUUCCUCCAAAG
rnacentral:lncRNA from 1 species